rnacentral:rRNA from 1 species
GGUUAAGCGACUAAGCGUACACGGUGGAUGCCCUGGCAGUCAGAGGCGAUGAAGGACGUGCUAAUCUGCGAAAAGCGUCGGUAAGGUGAUAUGAACCGUUACAGCCGGCGAUGUCCGAAUGGGGAAACCCAGUGCAAUUCGUUGCACUAUCGUUAACUGAAUACAUAGGUUAACGAGGCGAACCGGGGGAACUGAAACAUCUAAGUACCCCGAGGAAAAGAAAUCAACCGAGAUUCCCCCAGUAGCGGCGAGCGAACGGGGAGCAGCCCAGAGUCUGAAUCAGCUUGUGUGUUAGUGGAACGGUCUGGAAAGUCCGACGGUACAGGGUGAUAGUCCCGUACACCAAAAUGCACAGGCUGUGAACUCGAAGAGUAGGGCGGGACACGUGGUAUCCUGUCUGAAUAUGGGGGGACCAUCCUCCAAGGCUAAAUACUCCUGACUGACCGAUAGUGAACCAGUACCGUGAGGGAAAGGCGAAAAGAACCCCGGCGAGGGGAGUGAAAAAGAACCUGAAACCGUGUACGUACAAGCAGUGGGAGCACCUUCGGGUGUGACUGCGUACCUUUUGUAUAAUGGGUCAGCGACUUAUAUUCUGUAGCAAGGUUAACCGUAUAGGGGAGCCGCAGGGAAACCGAGUCUUAACUGGGCGUUAAGUUGCAGGGUAUAGACCCGAAACCCGGUGAUCUAGCCAUGGGCAGGUUGAAGGUUGGGUAACACUAACUGGAGGACCGAACCGACUAAUGUUGAAAAAUUAGCGGAUGACUUGUGGCUGGGGGUGAAAGGCCAAUCAAACCGGGAGAUAGCUGGUUCUCCCCGAAAGCUAUUUAGGUAGCGCCUCGUGAACUCAUCUUCGGGGGUAGAGCACUGUUUCGGCUAGGGGGUCAUCCCGACUUACCAACCCGAUGCAAACUACGAAUACCGAAGAAUGUUAUCACGGGAGACACACGGCGGGUGCUAACGUCCGUCGUGAAGAGGGAAACAACCCAGACCGCCAGCUAAGGUCCCAAAGUCAUGGUUAAGUGGGAAACGAUGUGGGAAGGCACAGACAGCCAGGAUGUUGGCUUAGAAGCAGCCAUCAUUUAAAGAAAGCGUAAUAGCUCACUGGUCGAGUCGGCCUGCGCGGAAGAUGUAACGGGGCUAAACCAUGCACCGAAGCUGCGGCAGCGACACUAUGUGUUGUUGGGUAGGGGAGCGUUCUGUAAGCCUGCGAAGGUGACCUGUGAGGGUUGCUGGAGGUAUCAGAAGUGCGAAUGCUGACAUAAGUAACGAUAAAGCGGGUGAAAAGCCCGCUCGCCGGAAGACCAAGGGUUCCUGUCCAACGUUAAUCGGGGCAGGGUGAGUCGACCCCUAAGGCGAGGCCGAAAGGCGUAGUCGAUGGGAAACAGGUUAAUAUUCCUGUACUUGGUGUUACUGCGAAGGGGGGACGGAGAAGGCUAUGUUAGCCGGGCGACGGUUGUCCCGGUUUAAGCAUGUAGGCUGGUUGUCCAGGCAAAUCCGGAUAAUCAAGGCUGAGGUGUGAUGACGAGGCACUACGGUGCUGAAGUAACAAAUGCCC